rnacentral:rRNA from 1 species
AACGAACGCUGGCGGCAGGUCUAACACAUGCAAGUCGAGCGAAGCCUUCGGGCUUAGCGGCGGGCGGGUGAGUAACGCGUGGGAACGUGCCCUUUGCUACGGAAUAGCCCCGGGAAACUGGGAGUAAUACCGUAUGUGCCCUUCGGGGGAAAGAUUUAUCGGCAAAGGAUCGGCCCGCGUUGGAUUAGGUAGUUGGUGGGGUAAUGGCCUACCAAGCCGACGAUCCAUAGCUGGUUUGAGAGGAUGAUCAGCCACACUGGGACUGAGACACGGCCCAGACUCCUACGGGAGGCAGCAGUGGGGAAUCUUAGACAAUGGGGGAAACCCUGAUCUAGCCAUGCCGCGUGAUCGAUGAAGGCCUUAGGGUUGUAAAGAUCUUUCAGUGGGGAAGAUAAUGACUGUACCCACAGAAGAAGCCCCGGCUAACUCCGUGCCAGCAGCCGCCGUAACAC